ACUGUCGCGCUGUUCUCGGACCAAACUGAGAGUGGGGCGGCUAUUUCUCGGGGCCCAAUGACGAGAUGCAGAUGAACUGAGGAGGAAGAGCGUUUUUAUUUUCUGCAACUGGUUACAGGGAGAAAGGCCUGGAAAUGAUCACCGGACCAACUCAAAAUUACAGUUUUCCAGAACUUACAUACCUUCUAAGCGGUAUGUCUACGUGGAAUUUGGACAACGACAUGCACGCAGGGAGAACAGCACAUGAAGACGGAGGCAGGGAUGGCAGAGACGUGUCCACCAGCCAGGAGCCAGACACUGCCAGCGGAUCACACGCAGCU
rnacentral:lncRNA from 10 species